rnacentral:misc_RNA from 1 species
GAGGAUGUUGUUGAAGACGACGACCUUGAAGAGGAGUUUUUCGAGGACGACGAGGACGAUGAUGAGUACGACGAAUUCGACUGGACUACAGAAUGAAAAAAACCGCUUCGGCGGUUUUUU